rnacentral:tRNA from 1 species
AACGUAGCUCAGAGGCAGAGCAGCUGUUUCGUAAACAGCAGGCCGUGGGUUCGAUUCCCACCGUUG